rnacentral:rRNA from 1 species
UACGAAGGGAGCUAGCGUUGUUCGGAAUUACUGGGCGUAAAGGGCGCGUAGGCGGGAUGGCAAGUCGGUCGUGAAAUCCUUCGGCUCAACCGAAGAACGUCGAUCGAUACUGCUGUUCUUGAGGGUUGCAGAGGAGACUGGAAUUCCCGGUGUAGCGGUGAAAUGUGUAGAGAUCGGGAGGAACACCGGUGGCGAAGGCGGGUCUCUGGGCAAUUCCUGACGCUGAGGCGCGAAAGCGUGGGGAGCAAACGGG